CCUCGAUGAUGAGGGGCGGGUAUGAGUUGCUGUUUCGAUUCACCUCUUGAUCCGGAGGGGUCUUGAGAGCAGCUGGGAUGUAUGGAGCAUGCAUGCUGGCUGCUUCCGGGACGUUUGGAGGCAGGUGCAUCAUCUGCUGGGCCUGUUGCUGCUGCUGCUGGAGUAGCGGUGGUAUCGACUGGUUGAAUUGCAUCGGCUGGAAGGCUUGCGGACUUUGCAUGAGCUGCUUUGGAGUAGCAUCAAUGGUCCUCAUUUCUUGGAGGAUGGAGCUGUAGUAACCAGGUUGGAUGACAGGAGGCGGUGGAGUUACUGCCGCGGAGCCCCCGGCUUUUUGCUGGAGUUGGAGCCAGUGAUCCAUCCCACUGAGCCCAGGAAAGUUCAUAUUUUGCAUGCUAAACUUGCCUUCUUCUCCUCUGGCCCAGAUCGAGGGAGCCUUCAUCUGGAGCUCCUCCUCUGCGAGAGAGAGAGAGUGUUAAGCACACCGGAGAAAGCUCUCACUUACCAGUACCUCUCGGACGCUUGGACCUCAACAAAAACGAAGAGUUGCAGAGAAGAAAAGCGGUAGAUUCGUCCCAGCCGACCUGAGAGGACAAAGAAAAGUGAGAAGACUCAUCUUGCUUCGGUAAAGCUCUCACCUUGAGAGAUCUCCAGUGGGAGUUUGGCCAUCUUACGGGAUCCAAAUCUCCUAUACCAGUGAUUGUUCCCAUGUACCUAUGGAUCAAACGGUCAGUUGCGGAGGAUGCAGUGCUUUCUGAUACUUCGCCAGUGGAAUGACAAACUCCGAGGGGCUCGCCCUGCGAAGAACGCCUCAGCCAGCUCCAAAACAGGAAGAGAAUAAAGCUACCUCGGAUUAUAGAAGAUCGUGAAGCGGCUGUUGGUGGAUGCUGCGUGAGCAGCCGCGGCAAGAACACCGAUGAGCAUGCUGUCGCUCGACAAGAGAGAUGUCGGGAGAUUCGUUUGCUGCCGGUUUGCCCGUCGAAUUCCCAGCAUGUGUUGUCCCUGCUCGUCCCUGCAAGAAAAUCUCAAGCUCUAUAAAAUGGAACGAGUUUUUUCUACCUCAA